rnacentral:rRNA from 1 species
AACGAACGCUGGCGGCGUGCCUAAUACAUGCAAGUCGAACGCAGUGGGGACGGGUGAGUAACACGUGGGUAACCUCCCAUCAGAGGGGAUAACACUUGGAAACAGGUGCUAAACUGAUACUGAUGGAUGGACCCGCUGUGCAUUAGCUAGUGGGUGAGGUAACGGCACACCAAGGCCACGAGGCAUAGCCGACCUGAGAGGGUGAUCUGCCACACUGGGACUGAGACACGGCCCAGACUCCUACGGGAGGAAGCAGUAGGGAAUAUUCGGCAAUGGACGAAAGUCUGACCGAGCAACGCCGCGUGAGUGAAGAAGGUUUUCGGAUCGUAAAACUCUGUUAUUAGAGAAGCGUUAUCUAACCAGAAAGCCACGGCUAACUACGUGCCAGCAGCCGCGGUAAUAC